rnacentral:rRNA from 1 species
UGAAUACGAGACGCUAAGGCGUCGAAGUAGUGUAUGUCAUACUUCCAAGAAAAGCUUGCACUGUCAUAGAUAAAAAACGCCUGUACCAUAACCGACACAGGUGGGUAGGUAGAGUAUACUAAGGGGCGCGAGAUAACUCUCUCUAAGGAACUCGGCAAAAUAACUCCGUAACUUCGGGAGAAGGAGUGCCUUAUUCGUAAGGUUGCAAUAACAAGAUCCAAGCAACUGUUUAUCAAAAACACAGGUCUCCGCUAAGUCGUAAGACGAUGUAUGGGGGCUGACGCCUGCCCAGUGCCAGAAGGUUAAAGAAGUUGGUUAGCAAUUGCGAAGCUGAUAACUGAAGCCCUGGUGAACGGCGGCCGUAACUAUAACGGUCCUAAGGUAGAAAACUCCUUGUCGGGUAAGUUCCGACCCGCACGAAAGGCGUAAUGAUUUGGAUACUGUCUCGGAGAGGGGCUCGGUGAAAUAGACUUGUCUGUGAAGAUGCGGACUACCUGCACCAGGACAGAAAGACCCUAUGAAGCUUUACUGUAACUUGAAAUUGAAAUUGGACUUUAUUCGCGCAGUAUAGGUGGGAGGCGUUGAUUAUAAUCUUGUGGGAUUAUUGGAGCCAUCAGUGAGAUACCACUCUUGUAAUGUUAGAUUUCUAACUUUGAAUCAUUAUCUGGUCAAAGAACAGUUUCAGGCGGGCAGUUUGACUGGGGCGGUCGCCUCCUAAACGGUAACGGAGGCGUACAAAGGUUUCCUCUGAACGGUUAGAAAUCGUAUCUAGAGUGUAAAGGCAUAAGGAAGCUUGACUGUGAGACCUACAAGUCGAGCAGGGACGAAAGUCGGUCUUAGUGAUCUGACGGUACUGAGUGGAAAGGCCGUCACUCAACGGAUAAAAGUUACUCUAGGAUAACAGGCUGAUCUCCCCCAAGAGUUCACAUCGACGGGGAGGUUUGGCACCUCGAUGUCGGCUCAUCGCAUCCUGGGGCGGUUGUACGUCCCAAGGGUUGGGCUGUUCGCCCAUGAAAGCGGUACGCGAGCUGGGUUCAGAACGUCGUGAGACAGUUCGGUCCAUAUCCGGUGUAGGCGUUAGAAUAUUGAGAGGAGCCUUCUUUAGUACGAGAGGACCGAGAAGGACAUACCUCUGGUGUACCAGUUAUCGUGCCAACGGUAAACGCUGGGUAGCUAUGUAUGGAGUGGAUAACCGCUGAAAGCAUCUAAGUGGGAGGCCCACCUCAAGAUAAG